GGUUUAUUUAUCAUUGUGUCCUUAUGCUUAAAGCCUGCGUGUUUUCACUGCAGAGUAGCGACUGAGUGCUCCGUCCCCUGUGCUCCAUUUAUGCCCGGGUUCUCUCGAGCGGUGGUAGAUGUCCGCUGCCGUGUGGGUCUUUCUCUCCCUCACUCUCCCUGUGCAGGUUUGACUUUGAAAACAGGGAACGCUCAUCAGCUGGCCGAAAUCUAUCGCUGGUGAUUCACGUGACUCCACCACCAGCUGAUUGGGGCCGCUGCUGCUUUGUCUGCUGCUUUGUCU